rnacentral:lncRNA from 1 species
GUAGAAAGUUGUCUUCAAAUUCUCAGUCUGGGGAAGAUCUGUCUGUGUUCUUUAAGCACUUCAACAAAACAGCUGAGGCUCUGUCUGCUUUAAGAAUAGUUUGCUAGUAUUGUGUUUGGUGGGUUAUUUUCUUCCACUUCAUUGCCAUAAUAUCCUCAGCUGUAUCACCCUCCUAUUGUAUUGUUAAUACAGAUGAGGGUACAUGGUCUGUGUUUCACUGUUUUUUUGUUGCUUUUUUUUUCUCAACGUGCUAGAAGGAAACAAAAUCCUUAACAAGUGACAAGGUCCAAUUUUCCCUGUCAACAGUGAGACCUCUAUUCUGUUUGCACUGAAAUCUUUGGCAAAAGUCCCAAUAGUUAGAUCUGGAUUUCUCCCUCCUUAAAACAAUAUCUUUCCUUUUGUGCUUUAUCCUCUGCUUGUCAGAAUCAGCUGAUUAUGAGCUCCUGCACAGAUGACAUUUUAGCUUCAGUAAGCAGGAAGGAGGCAUGAAUUAGGGCUUAGAAAAAAAAAAAAAGUUCAAUAAUUAGCCACAGAGGAAGGAAAACAUCCAAAGGGAAAAAAAAAAAGUACACAGAAGGAACUGACUGACUUCAUUUGGAUGGGCUGCAAAGUUCAGCUGUAAUGAUGGUAGUUAAAUUAAUUAUGAUGAUUUGGUGACAAGGAAGCUAGUUUGUCUUCAAAUGCUGUGCAUUAUUUUUUAACCAAGGAGAAGUAACUUUGCACAUUGCUGCUGCUCUGCUGGAAUAGUAGAUAUCAGACAGUCCUCAAGACUUGUAAACUGUGCUUUCAUUCAGGAUAUGAUGCAUGAUGGCACAACUUGAUCCCAAACUAACCCUUAGGCCAGGGUUCAGGAUAUCAUUCGAUGUGAGGCAGAGGAUGGGACGUGUAUUCUGAGUGGAGAAAAAGCAUCGAGGAAAACCAAAACAUUUUGAUCUUCAUUUAUGUGGGAAAGUGAGGCCGACAUGUGAAAUACAGCAACCCAGGCUGCAGCCACCCGGAGCAUGCAGGGGGUUAAACAGCCCUUAACCCCUCCACUUGACCUUGCCCAUCUUCGUAUUUCAGCACAGACAGUGGCACAGCUGCACAGCAGUCCUCGCUGGGGAACAGCCCGGUGAGAAAUAACAUGGACAGGGGAAUGGGUGCAAGAGAGGAG